rnacentral:lncRNA from 1 species
UAAUUUUAGGAAUAUAUUAUUUCUUCUAUUAAGUAUUUUUUUUAUUUUGAUUAUUGCUAAAACUCUUAUUCAAAAAAUUAGCUAUGGAGAGAAAGGAAUCGAUCAAAUUUGUGAUUUUUGGGAUGAUAUUUAUCUUACUUGGAACAUGUUAUUGUAAGGAAGAGGUUAAAGGAGGAGGAGUAAUUCAUGAUUGUUGUACUCGAUGUUUUGAACAAUGUCGGGAGAUGUUUGGUUAUGUAAACGAAAUAUGUCUCAGAAAUUGUCAACGAGGUUGUCCUAUAUAUUGUCCACCUUUCCAAACCAAAGGUUACUGCUCUUCUAAAUAUAUACAUACACAUACAAACUUACAUGCAUAUGCACACACAAAUGAAGUAUAAAUUAUAUUCGUGUUUUCAUUCUACAUUGCAGGGCAAAACUAUGAAGAAUACAUAUCCAAGCUACACAAGGACAAGAAAGGAAGACUCGGUGGAGGAAAUUGAUGAAUAAUAAGGAUUUCAACAUGUUUUCAAGGAAAUUAUUGAUAAUAAUGUUGGGUAGCGAUAAAUAAUGAUACUACAAUAUUUAUACUAAGAACGUAAAUUUUGAAAACUCUUUCUUUCAAUAAUGUUGUCUUUUACUGUCAAUUUUUAUGAGCUGA